AGUGAACGCUGGCGGUAGGCCUAACACAUGCAAGUCGAACGGCAGCACAGUAAGAGCUUGCUCUUACGGGUGGCGAGUGGCGGACGGGUGAGGAAUACAUCGGAAUCUACUUUUUCGUGGGGGAUAACGUAGGGAAACUUACGCUAAUACCGCAUACGACCUACGGGUGAAAGCAGGGGAGCUUCGGACCUUGCGCGAUUGAAUGAGCCGAUGUCGGAUUAGCUAGUUGGCGGGGUAAAGGCCCACCAAGGCGACGAUCCGUAGCUGGUCUGAGAGGAUGAUCAGCCACACUGGAACUGAGACACGGUCCAGACUCCUACGGGAGGCAGCAGUGGGGAAUAUUGGACAAUGGGCGCAAGCCUGAUCCAGCCAUACCGCGUGGGUGAAGAAGGCCUUCGGGUUGUAAAGCCCUUUUGUUGGGAAAGAAAAGCAGCAGGUUAAUACCCCGCUGUUCUGACGGUACCCAAAGAAUAAGCCCCGGCUAACUUCGUG
rnacentral:rRNA from 1 species